AUUGAACGCUGGCGGCAGGCUUAACACAUGCAAGUCGAACGAGUGGCGGACGGGCGAGUGAUGGUUGGGCAUCUGGCUUAUGGAGGGGGAUCACUACGGGAACAUGUAGAUAAUACCGCGUACGAUACGAUGAGCCCAAGUGGGAUUAGGUAGUUGGUGAGGUAAAGGCUCACCAAGCCGACGAUCCCUAGCUGGGCUGAGAGGAAGACCGGCCACACUGGGACUGAGACACGGCCCAGACUCCUACGGGAGGCAGCAGUGGGGAAUAUUCCGCAAUGGACGCAAGCUGACCCAGCCACGCCGCGUGAAUGAAGAAGGCUUUCGGGUUGUAAAGUUCUUUCGGUAGCGAGGCGUUAACUACAGAAGAAGCAACGGCUAACUACGUGCCAGCAGCCGCGGUAAUAC
rnacentral:rRNA from 1 species